rnacentral:rRNA from 1 species
AUUGAACGCUGGCGGCAGGCCUAACACAUGCAAGUCGAGCGGAUGAAGGGAGCUUGCUCCUGGAUUCAGCGGCGGACGGGUGAGUAAUGCCUAGGAAUCUGCCUGGUAGUGGGGGAUAACGUCCGGAAACGGGCGCUAAUACCACAUACGUCCUGAGGGAGAAAGUGGGGGAUCUUCGGACCUCACGCUAUCAGAUGAGCCUAGUUCGGAUUAGCUAGUUGGUGGGGUAAAGGCCUACCAAGGCGACGAUCCGUAACUGGUCUGAGAGGAUGAUCAGGCACACUGGAACUGAGACACGGUCCAGACUCCUACGGGAGGCAGCAGUGGGGAAUAUUGGACAAUGGGCGAAAGCCUGAUCCAGCCAUGCCGCGUGUGUGGAGAAGGUCUUCGGAUUGUAAAGCACUUUAAGUUGGGAGAAAGGGCAGUAAGUUAAUACCUUGCUGUUUUGACGUUACCAAAAGAAUAAGCACCGGCUAACUUCGUG